rnacentral:misc_RNA from 1 species
CCGAGUUUACAACUCCCAAACCCAUGUGAAUUUACCUUUACGUUCCCUCGGCGGUGUCCUCUCCCUCACGGGGGAGUCCCGCCAGAGGACCAAACCAAACCCUGAAUUUUAUUGUGAAUCUCUGAGGGGCGAAAGCCCGAAAACAAAAUGAAUCA